AUUGAACGCUGGCGGCGUGCCUUACACAUGCAAGUCGAACGGCAGCACGGGUGCUUGCACCUGGUGGCGAGUGGCGAACGGGUGAGUAAUACAUCGGAACGUACCUUAUCGUGGGGGAUAACGCAGCGAAAGCUGUGCUAAUACCGCAUACGCCCUGAGGGGGAAAGCGGGGGAUCGCAAGACCUCGCGCGAUUAGAGCGGCCGAUGCCUGAUUAGCUUGUCGGUGGGGUAAAAGCCCACCAAGGCGACGAUCAGUAGCUGGUCUGAGAGGACGAUCAGCCACACUGGGACUGAGACACGGCCCAGACUCCUACGGGAGGCAGCAGUGGGGAAUUUUGGACAAUGGGGGCAACCCUGAUCCAGCAAUGCCGCGUGAGUGAAGAAGGCCUUCGGGUUGUAAAGCUCUUUUGUCAGGGAAGAAACACCGGCUCUAACACAGUCUGGGAAUGACGGUACCUGAAGAAUAAGCACCGGCUAACUACGUGCCAGCAGCCGCGGUAA
rnacentral:rRNA from 1 species